CCUACGGGGCGCAGCAGUGGGGAAUAUUGCACAAUGGGGGGAACCCUGAUGCAGCGACGCCGCGUGAGUGAAGAAGUAUUUCGGUAUGUAAAGCUCUAUCAGCAGGAACGAAAAUGACGGUACCUGACUAAGAAGCCCCGGCUAACUACGUGCCAGCAGCCGCGGUAAUACGUAGGGGGCAAGCGUUAUCCGGAUUUACUGGGUGUAAAGGGAGCGUAGACGGCAGAGCAAGUCCGGAGUGAAAGCCCGGGGCCCAACCCCGGGACUGCUCUGGAAACUGUUAAGCUGGAGUGCGGGAGGGGCAG
rnacentral:rRNA from 1 species